rnacentral:rRNA from 1 species
UACGUAGGGUGCGAGCGUUAAUCGGAAUUACUGGGCGUAAAGCGUGCGCAGGCGGUUCGUUGUGUCGGCGGUGAAAGCCCCGGGCUCAACCUGGGAAUGGCCGUUGAAACUGGCGAACUGGAGUGUGGCAGAGGGGGUGGAAUUCCGCGUGUAGCAGUGAAAUGCGUAGAGAUGCGGAGGAACACCGAUGGCGAAGGCAGCCCCCUGGGCUGACACUGACGCUCAGGCACGAAAGCGUGGGAGCAAACAGG